UUAAUUGACAGCAAGCCUUGAUGAACUUACGGGGAGGAGAAGAUAAAAAGUAAUAAUAGAAUAAGAAAACAGAAGUGUGAUGUAAAGACACAAUUGGAGACACUGAUUGUUUCACCAAGGCUUUAUCUGAAAUGCCAUGUUUUCAGACUGUUUUCAAAAAUUGGAGUUGACUUAUAGAGCCAAUAAAAACCCCUUGGAGAAA